UAGCCAACACCGACUACUCUGUGGUCCUUCU
rnacentral:piRNA from 1 species